AACUGCCAACUUCUACUGACAGCCUUCUAGAAAAAACCCUGACAUUCAAUGUCUGGGUGAAGUAAUAGUAACAGGAAUCAUUGCCAUGAAGGGCAGUCUGUCAACUUGGGCGUGCAAACAACCAUCCUAAGAGCCUUUCUUGCUCUGAUAGGGAGAAAAAAAGGCUUCGGGGGCUACCAGAGGAGAAGAGGCCAUCACCUCGGACCAGCAGCAACACACUCUGAAGUAGGUCUCAGAAGACAAAAAGCUGAAAUCAACUCAUGCUUCCUGCUACACAGAAUCCACUGAGAGGAAAAGGAAACUUCACCGAAACUUCAGAAAGCUACAGAAAUGACAUCCAUUUUCACAAUCCCAGAAGGAAAGAUGCAUCUGAAGGGAAUAAAAACAGAGCAAUGGAAGAGUAUUUGUUAAAAUAAAUGGCUUUGACAGG
ensembl:lncRNA LINC02608 long intergenic non-protein coding RNA 2608